GGGAGAGCCUGAUGCAGCACGUGGCCGUCCAGAAGGCGACAAGCUCUGAGAGGGAAGCUCUAUCAUUUAAUUACUUUUCAAUGGAAAGAACAUUUGGUAACUCAGGAACCAGGACAACGUACCUUGCAAUCGUCAGCUGCCACUUCUGGCUUGAGCUGCCCUCCUGCCUCAAACAUCUGUCCAUUCCAGGCCUUAAAGCGCACGGCUUUUUCUGAAGGUUUUUCAGAUGAGCCUUCCCGCCACACGGAGGUAUUCAGGCAGUGGAUGGUUAUGUGCUGGACCACCUCUGAGCUCAGAAGGCGAAGGAAGUUCAUCUGGACUCUACCGAUGUCAAAAUCCAGCUGUGAAGAUGACAGAGUUAGGUUAUAUCCCCUCUGCAAAGGUGCGGGAGGGAGCUAUCGGUACAGACAGCACAAGAAGUGGCAACAAAAACAUUCCCUGUUCUCUGCUUAAGUCUGGAGGUGGCUGCACAGGGAUGUCUCAGCCCCAAACCAGUUCUGGUCUGAGUACAGGCACAAGGGCCAGAUGCAAAGUCAAUUUGGAAAAUUUUCAUGGGGACACAGCACGUCCUUCACUUUUCAGAACACAGUAGAGGGCCCUAAGUAGGAGGAAAUUAAUUACAAAGUUCAAAUCCAAAACUUGUUUCUGCAAAGAAGCAAAGCAACAGGCUCUAGUGGGGACAGCAGGUGAAACCAAAUAUUGCUAUUGGUGUUUUUUGUUAAAGGUACUUCUGCAAGAGAAAUCCAAAGGCUAUUCCAGAGAAAUCCUGUAGCAUUAAUUUCAGUGGACAGUUGUAUAUUUAAGCUGACCUCACUUUUUCAGUUGCUUGUAGAAGACAAAAUGCAAGAGUGACCUGAACAUAAAUCAAUUCAACAAUGCAUUUGGGAGCAACAUGUUUGCAAAAUUAGUGGCCUCUAUUAAGGUCAUGGGUUAAUUAAACAUUGCUGGAAAUGUA